GCGCUCUUGGUGUAACGGUAACACAUGCUCCCUUAAAGUUUUAGGAGUGGUCCUGGGUUAGACUCCCGGGGGGCGCC